UUAGGUAGGUGCAACUGGCGUAAACGUGGAUGACCACGAGGGAGCACCUAUUUCAUAUGUCGUACGCCUGGGCAAAGUAU
rnacentral:ncRNA from 2 species